UUCCCAUUCCUUAGGGAGUGUCGCCUCCCCGGACUAGCCCUAUGAAGCAAGCACAUACCAUGCAUUACAAGAGGAGACAGCAAGAGCCGACAUAAGCAUUCCUCGCCAGGACUCCUACAGCUGUCUGGGCUCUCAGGGAGAAAACGCACUCACCGAAACCGGUCUUGCUGCUGAAGAUGCGCAAAAAUCCGUUAACCACUGAAGCAAAGGGGUAUCGCGAUGGCGGCAAGAGGUACACAAGCGACAAUGGAUAAGGCUAUAGCUCUUUCCAGUCAUUGGUGCUUACGUGCGAGUAAUUCCUACUGAUCUCAGUAAGCAGGCAUGGAAAGAAAGCUGGAGAACGUGAAGCUAGCCAUAGAAGCCGGCGCAGCUUCUAUGCGGUGGUCUGCCCAUGCUUCCUCUUGGCUUCCAUCUGUAUUGGUGAGACAGGUAAGCAAGCCUGUGUUGCCAAUUGCAGCACCCCAAAAGUAAUUGGCCAGAGAAAGGCCCCAUAGUA